UCAAGCGCGAAAAGGGCGUUUGGUGAAUGCCUUGGCAGUAAGAGGCGAUGAAAGACGUGAUACUCUGCGAUAAGCCAUGGGGAGCUGAGAAUAAGCUUUGAUCCAUGGAUUUCUGAAUGGGGCAACCCACCUGAUUGUUUAUUGUUGUCCUACCGCUUUGCUACUUGAGGACGUAAGUUCGCAAGGUGCAGACGGUGGGUUCAUCAGUAAGCAGAACCAGGUAUUUAUAGACUGAAUACAUAGGUUUAUAAAAGCAAACCCGGGGAACUGAAACAUCUAAGUACCCGGAGGAAAGGAAAUCAAUUGAUACUCCCCUAGUAGCGGCGAGCGAACGGGGACCAGCCGAGCCAUGAGUGUGGUUAGAAUGCGUUGGAAUGCGCAACCAAAGUGGGUGAUAGUCCCGUAUAAGAAGCAUGAUUGGACGUAUUAAGUAGGGCGGAACACGUGAAAUUCUGUCUGAAGAUCGGAGGACCACCUUCGAAGGCUAAGUACUCCUUACUGACCGAUAGUGAACCAGUACCGUGAGGGAAAGGUGAAAAGCACCCCGACGAGGGGAGUGAAACAGUACCUGAAACCGAACGCCUACAAUCAGUUGGAGGGCCCUUGCGGCCUGACAGCGUACCUUUUGUAUAAUGGGUCAUCGACUUGGUCUCACGAGCAAGCUUAAGCCGUUAGGUGUAGGCGUAGCGAAAGCGAGUCUUAAUAGGGCGUUGAGUUCGUGGGAUCAGACCCGAAACCGAGUGAUCUAGGCAUGGCCAGGUUGAAGAUAAGGUAACACUUAUUGGAGGACCGAACCCACAUCUGUUGAAAAAGAUCGGGAUGAGCUGUGCCUAGGGGUGAAAGGCCAAUCAAACUCGGAGAUAGCUGGUUCUCUGCGAAAUCUAUUUAGGUAGAGCGUCGACCGAAUACCCUCGGGGGUAGAGCACUGGAUGGGUAAUGGGGCCCCACAGGCUUACUGAUCCUAACCAAACUCCGAAUACCGAGGAGUACUAGUCGGCAGACACACGGCGAAUGCUAACGUCCGUCGUGAAGAGGGAAACAACCCUAACCUCCAGCUAAGGCCCCUAAUUCAUGGCUAAGUGGGAAAGCAGGUGAGACGACCAAAACAACCAGGAGGUUGGCUUAGAAGCAGCCAUCCUUUAAAGAUAGCGUAACAGCUCACUGGUCUAAAUAAGUUGUCUUGCGGCGAAGAUGUAACGGGGCUCAAGCCAUGAGCCGAAGCUGAGGAUGCAUUUAUUGCAUGGUAGCAGAGCGUAGUGUGACAUAGUUCCAUGUGUCCUUAUCGUCCCUCGGGACGGAUUGGACACAAGGAGCUUUCUGUGAAGCUGGCGCGUGAGCGAUCCGGUGGAGAGAUCACUAGUGAGAAUGAUGACAUGAGUAGCGACAAAGAGUGUGAGAGACACUCUCGCCGAAAGUCCAAGGGUUCCUGCUUAAAGCUAAUCUGAGCAGGGUAAGCCGACCCCUAAGGCGAGGCCGAAAGGCGUAGUCGAUGGGAACCAGGUUAAUAUUCCUGGGCCAGAUGGAAGUGACGGAUCUCGAGGGUAGUUCAUCCUUAUCGGAUUGAAUGGGCUGCUUAGAGGUCCCUGGAAAUAGCUCCAUCGCUAGAUCGUACCCUAAACCGACACAGGUGGACAGGUAGAGAAUACCAAGGCGCUUGAGAGAACUAUGUUGAAGGAACUCGGCAAAAUACCUCCGUAAGUUCGCGAGAAGGAGGCCCGGUUCCUAGGCAACUAGGGGCUGGGGGCACAAACCAGGGGGUGGCGACUGUUUAUUAAAAACACAGGGCUCUGCGAAGUCGUAAGACGACGUAUAGGGUCUGACGCCUGCCCGGUGCCUGAAGGUUAAAAGGAGGGGUGAGAGCUCUGAAUUGAAGCCCAGGUAAACGGCGGCCGUAACUAUAACGGUCCUAAGGUAGCGAAAUUCCUUGUCGGG
rnacentral:rRNA from 1 species